CGGUGGAGAAUAGAGCUUCUUUUUAUAGGAAAAGCUGAAAAACGCCCAACUACCUUGUUUGACUGCCCAGCUGCUUGCUUGGGGCUGUUUGGCCCUCCCAAAGUUGGUGGGUCAGUAGCUUGCCACCCCUAGUGGCCAGCCUAUUAUGGGCUAGGCCCAUGCAAAGUGGCACCUCCUACUUACUUGUCAUAGCUUAGGUCAUGCAUGAGGUAAUGUGCUUGGUCUUCAAGUAAAGGAAUGGCAAGUUGCUUGGUGAGUUGGCCUAGCUUUCUUCAUGGUGAGGUUUUGUGUGGUUUGUUGGGAG
rnacentral:lncRNA from 1 species